AUUGAACGCUGGCGGCAUGCCUUACACAUGCAAGUCGAACGGCAGCACGGGUGCUUGCACCUGGUGGCGAGUGGCGAACGGGUGAGUAAUACAUCGGAACGUACCUUAUCGUGGGGGAUAACGCAGCGAAAGCUGUGCUAAUACCGCAUACGCCCUGAGGGGGAAAGCGGGGGAUCGCAAGACCUCGCGCGAUUAGAGCGGCCGAUGCCUGAUUAGCUUGUUGGUGGGGUAAAAGCCCACCAAGGCGACGAUCAGUAGCUGGUCUGAGAGGACGGUCAGCCACACUGGGAAGGAGACAAGGCCCAAACUCCGACGGGAGGCAGCAGUGGGGAAUUUGGGACAAUGGGGGAAACCGUGAUCCAGCAAUGCCGCGUGAGUGAAGAGGGGCGUCGGGUUGUAAAGCUCUUUUGUCAGGGAAGAAACACCGGCUCUAACACAGUCCGGGAAUGACGGUACCUGAAGAAUAAGCACCGGCUAAUUACGUGCCAGCCGCCGCCGUAA
rnacentral:rRNA from 1 species